UGGGGAAUCUUGCGCAAUGGACGAAAGUCUGACGCAGCAACGCCGCGUGAGUGAAGAAGGCCUUCGGGUUGUAAAGCUCUGUCGCUUGGGACGAAAAUUUUGUGGGUGAAUAGCCCAUGAAACUGACGGUACCGAGAAAGGAAGCACCGGCUAACUCUGUGCCAGCAGCCGCGGUAAUACAGAGGGUGCAAGCGUUGCUCGGAAUUAUUGGGCGUAAAGGGCAGGUAGGUGGUCUCAUUUGUCUGGGGUGAAAGCCUUGAGCUUAACUCAAGAAGUGCCCCGGAAACGGUGAGACUCGAGUACUGGAGAGGGUCGUGGAAUUCCCGGUGUAGCGGUGAAAUGCGUAGAGAUCGGGAGGAACACCAGAGGCGAAGGCGGCGACCUGGACAGUAACUGACACUCAACUGCGAAAGCGUGGGGAGCAAACAGG
rnacentral:rRNA from 1 species